rnacentral:tRNA from 1 species
UAUAUUUUAGUGUACGAUGCACACAAAUUUUUGAAAUUUGAAGACAAUAGUUUAACUCUGUUAAAUAUAA